rnacentral:tRNA from 1 species
GGGUCUGUAGCUUAAUCGGGAAAGCACCGAGCUUGCACCUCGGGAGAUGUCGGUUCAACUCCGACCAGUAUCCA